AUAUCAAUAAGCGGAGGAAAAGAAACCAACCGGGAUUGCCUCAGUAACGGCGAGUGAAGCGGCAAGAGCUCAAAUUUGAAAUCUGGCCCCCUCGGGGUCCGAGUUGUAAUUUGCAGAGGAUGCUUCGGGUGCGGUCCCCAUCUAAGUGCCCUGGAACGGGCCGUCAUAGAGGGUGAGAAUCCCGUCUGGGAUGGGCGGCCGCGCCCGUGUGAAGCUCCUUCGACGAGUCGAGUUGUUUGGGAAUGCAGCUCUAAGCGGGUGGUAAAUUUCAUCUAAAGCUAAAUACUGGCCGGAGACCGAUAGCGCACAAGUAGAGUGAUCGAAAGAUGAAAAGCACUUUGAAAAGAGAGUUAAACAGCACGUGAAAUUGUUGAAAGGGAAGCGUUGUCCACCAGACUCGCCCGGGGGGGUUCAGCCGGCACGUGUGCCGGUGUACUCCUCUCCGGGCGGGCCAGCAUCGGUUUGGGCGGCUGGUGAAAGGCCCCGGGAAUGUACCACCCUCCGGGGUGUCUUAUAGCCCGGGGUGCCAUACAGCCAGCCUGGACCGAGGCCCGCGCUUCGGCGAGGAUGCUGGCGUAAUGGUGGUCAACGGC
rnacentral:rRNA from 1 species